rnacentral:rRNA from 1 species
GAUGAACGCUGGCGGCGUGCCUAAUACAUGCAAGUCGAACGGAGUGCAGCAAUGCAUUUAGUGGCGACCGGGUGCGUAACACGUAGCUGACCUGCCCCUCAGCGGGGGACAACAGGCCGAAAGGCCUGCUAAUACCGCAUGAGCUUUGGCUUUCUAGAAAGGCCAAAGGAAACUUUUGGGGCUGAGGGGAGGGGGCUGCGGCCCAUCAGGUAGUUGGUGAGGUAACGGCNCACCAAGCCGACGACGGGUAGGGGGCCUGAGAGGGUGGUCCCCCACACUGGAACUGACAAACGGUCCAGACUCCUACGGGAGGCAGCAGUAAGGGAUAUUGCGCAAUGGGCGAAAGCCUGACGCAGCAACGCCGCGUGGAGGAUGAA